rnacentral:rRNA from 1 species
AUUGAACGCUGGCGGCAGGCCUAACACAUGCAAGUCGAACGAGUGGCGGACGUGUGAGUAAUGUCUGGGAAACUGCCUGAUGGAGGGGGAUAACUACUGGAAACGGUAGCUAAUACCGCAUACCAUCAGAUGUGCCCAGAUGGGAUUAGCUUGUUGGUGGGGUAACGGCUCACCAAGGCGACGAUCCCUAGCUGGUCUGAGAGGAUGAUCAGACACACUGGGACUGAGACACGGGCCAGACUCCUACGGGAGGCAGCAGUGGGGAAUAUUGCACAAUGGGCGCAAGCCUGAUGCAGCCAUGCCGCGUGUAUGAAGAAGGCCUUCGGGUUGUAAAGUACUUGCAGCGGGGAGGCGUUACCCGCAGAAGAAGCACCGGCUAACUCCGUGCCAGCAGCCGCGGUAAUUC